rnacentral:rRNA from 1 species
UUUACCAGAGUACUAUGAAUAUUGUAAUUUAAAACUCAAAGAACUUGGCGGUGUUUUAGACCAUUUAGGGGAACCUGUCUCGUAAUCGACAGUCCACGAUAUACCUGACCUUUUUUUGUUUUUCAGUUUGUAUACCGUUGUCGUCAGGUAACUUUUUAGAAAAUAGAAGUUGGCUUGAAAAAUAAGAUAAUUUAAUACGUCAAAUCAAGGUGCAGCUAAUAAAAAGGGGAGGAUGGGUUACAAUUAUGAAUUUAUAAUUACGAAUAAUCAUAUGUAAAUGUGAUUUGUGAAGGAGGACUUAAAAGUAAAUUAAAUUAUAAAAAUAAUUUGAAUGAGGCUCUGAAACGUGU